rnacentral:rRNA from 1 species
AUUGAACGCUGGCGGCAGGCCUAACACAUGCAAGUCGAGCGGAUGAAGGGAGCUUGCUCCUGGAUUCAGCGGCGGACGGGUGAGUAAUGCCUAGGAAUCUGCCUGGUAGUGGGGGAUGACGUCCGGAAACGGGCGCUAAUACCGCAUACGUCCUGAGGGAGAAAGUGGGGGAUCUUCGGACCUCACGCUAUCAGAUGAGCCUAGGUCGGAUUAGCUAGUUGGUGGGGUAAAGGCCUACCAAGGCGACGAUCCGUAACUGGUCUGAGAGGAUGAUCAGUCACACUGGAACUGAGACACGGUCCAGACUCCUACGGGAGGCAGCAGUGGGGAAUAUUGGACAAUGGGCGAAAGCCUGAUCCAGCCAUGCCGCGUGUGUGAAGAAGGUCUUCGGAUUGUAAAGCACUUUUAGUUGGGAGGAAGGGCAGUAAGUUAAUCCCUUGCUGUUUUGACGUUACCAACACAAUAAGCCCCGGCUAACUUCGUG